GAUGAACGCUGGCGGCGUGCCUAAUACAUGCAAGUCGAGCGAACAGAUAAGGAGCUUGCUCCUUUGACGUUAGCGGCGGACGGGUGAGUAACACGUGGGUAACCUACCUAUAAGACUGGGAUAACUUCGGGAAACCGGAGCUAAUACCGGAUAACAUUUGGAACCGCAUGGUUCUAAAGUGAAAGAUGGUUUUGCUAUCACUUAUAGAUGGACCCGCGCCGUAUUAGCUAGUUGGUAAGGUAACGGCUUACCAAGGCGACGAUACGUAGCCGACCUGAGAGGGUGAUCGGCCACACUGGAACUGAGCCACGGUCCAGACUCCUACGGGAGGCAGCAGUAGGGAAUCUUCCGCAAUGGGCGAAAGCCUGACGGAGCAACGCCGCGUGAGUGAUGAAGGGUUUCGGCUCGUAAAACUCUGUUAUUAGGGAAGAACAAACGUGUAAGUAACUGUGCACGUCUUGACGGUACCUAAUCAGAAAGCCACGGCUAACUACGUG
rnacentral:rRNA from 1 species